rnacentral:rRNA from 1 species
CCUACGGGAGGCAGCAGUGAGGAAUAUUGGUCAAUGGGCGAGAGCCUGAACCAGCCAAGUCGCGUGAGGGAGUACUGCCCUAUGGGUUGUAAACCUCUUUUGUCGGGGAGCAAAAGCCGGACGUGUCCGGCUGUGAGAGUACACGAAGAAAAAGCAUCGGCUCACUCCGUGCGAGCAGCCGCGGUAAUACGGAGGAUGCGAGCGUUAUCCGGAUUUAUUGGGUGUAAAGGGUGCGUAGGCGGUCCGUUAAGUCAGCGGUAAAAUUGCGGGGCUCAACCCUGUUGAGCCGUUGAAACAGGCGGACGUGAGUUGACGAGAGGUACGCGGAAUGCGUGGUGUAGCGGUGAAAUGCAUAGAUAUCGCGCAGAACUCCGAUUGCGAAGGCAGCGUACCGGCGCCAGACUGACGCUGAGGCACGAAAGCGUGGGGAUCGAACAGGAUUAGAUACCCUGGUAGUC